UCUUCAAAAUCAAACAACAAGCAGAUGAUUUGAGACAUCAGCAAUGAGCAGACGGCCAACCAACAAACCAAUCAACCAACCGGCAAGAAAAGGCUAGGCCAGCCAUCGCCGACAUUAGACCAAGAGCAAGCAACAAGUCUACUCGGAAUCGGGCUAACAUACACCCAAAGAGGGGAGAAACGUUACAUAUACGCAUAUCGCCAGUGACCACGCCACAAGAUCGAUGGAAAAUAUCAACUGGCUGCUCCCAUGAUAUAUACUACUAAUGGCCACUGGCCACUGGCCACGCUAAAGAUAUGGAAGGGGAUUUCUAGCUUCCACUGAUCGUGCAACCAACAGACCGACCCCUGAUAAGGGGGGAUUGGCGCAGAUCUUUAAAAAAAAAAAAAAAAAAAAAAAAAAAAAAAAUAUACUCGAAAAUCUUUGACGGUCAACGGACGUGGUCUCUCGUUUUGGCCAUAUAGACGCCAAUGAAGACAAUCACCACAACAACCUCAUUUUCAGUAUGCGCUUCAAUGGCAAUGAAAAACAUUAAAAUGAUAAAAUGAAAAUAAGUAGAUCUAAUAAAAUGGAAUGUUGACUUUAUCAGCAGGCAAUAUUCGAAUCAUAGGCAUCACCUACUCGAAAUGCUA